AGAGAUGGGUUUCUGGACUCGCGAAGCAGCUGCAACAAGGCAUCACUCACUGUAUAAGUAUUUCCAUUUCUGAGAGCAAAAGGAAGAACUUAAGCGGGCGGCACUUGGAGUGUAAAUUGCUUUGUAGUAUUUAAAGGCAGAAUGGAUCCUGGGCAGCCGAGCUGCAACAAACCGGCAGGACUUCCUGUGAAAUCAUGACCACCAUGUGCUCUUUCAGCCUCUAUCAGUUCCUACCUCUAAGCACCUGAGAGCCAAAGCAAACCACAGGAAACCACAGGUACUAACUCUUUUAGACCUGAUGAAGUGUCUCCCAAAUACAGUCUGGCAUGACUCAAACUAAACGUCAGCUUUUCCCGGCUCUCAAGCCUGCUGGUCCCUGAACUAAAACUCACAUUAUCAACUCUACUGGUUCUUAGGCCUUUGGAGUCAGACUGGAACUACAGCAUUGACUCUUCCGGAACUCCAGCUUACUGACUACAGAUCUUGGAACUUUUCAGCUUCCACAACCAUAAUGAAAGCCAAGCAUAUUCCAUCAUUUCCUAAAACCAAGAUAGAGCACAUAUGGGAACUUGUGAAAUAAGGAUGCCCUGCGGUUGUUUUCAGGACUGAAGACAACAGCUCCACGAUGAAACCAAAGCACAAAGAGAGAAAGAAAAGAAAGAGAAAAAAGGAAGAAAGAAAAGAAAGAUGAAAGAAAGAAAGAGAAAGAAGAGAGAGGGAGAGAGAGAAAGAAAGAGAAGGAAAGAAAGAAGGAAGAAGAAAGAAAGAAAGAAAGAAAGAAAGAAAGAAAGAAAGAAAGAAAGAAAGAAAGAAAGAAAGAAAGAAAGAAAAAAGGAAGGAAGGAAAAGAAACACAUGGAAAGUGGUGAGGAUGGGGAGGUGUCAAACAAGACCUAACCUCUCAACAAUCAGCUGGACACUGUUGUGUAAGAAUGUGAAGCUUGGCACUGCUGCAGCCAUCUUGUUCCAGGAAGGGUAAAACCUGAGGUUAGAAGCCAACAUCCUAAUGAUGGCAGAGAAGACAAAGAGAACCAGAGUCUAAAUGACAUUGUUGAGUUAGAUCACUACACUACCUCUAGUCUUCUUUUUAUGUGUGAUAAUAAAUCUCACUUAUACUUAAGCCAUUUGAAGUUGAGUCUAAUGUUCAUUUCAGACCAAAGCAGCUUAACUGACAUGUUCUCCGCUUUGUUACCCUAUCCAGUUGUUUUCAUGCAGGAAAUAAAUCUCAAAUUACC
rnacentral:lncRNA from 1 species